AUGACGUUUUCGUCUUUUGAGCUUCUAGUCAGGAAAUCUAUGCAGCCUACUCACUCACUUUUUAUAGCUACUGUUUACAGGCCUCCUGGGCCAUAUGCAGUGUUCCUCACCGAGUUCCCUGAAUUCCUAUCGGAUCUUGUAGUCAUAGCAGAUAAUAUUCUAAUUUUUGGUGACUUUAACAUUCACAUGGAAAAGUCCACAGACCCACUCCAAAAGGCUUUCGGAGCCAUCAUCGACUCAGUGGGUUUUGUCCAACAUGUCUCUGGACCUACUCACUGCCACAGUCAUACUCUGGACCUAGUUUUGUCCCAUGGAAUAAAUGUUGUGGAUCUAAAUGUUUUUCCUCAUAAUCCUGGACUAUCGGACCACCAUUUUAUUACGUUUGCAAUUGCAACAAAUAAUCUGCUCAGACCCCAACCAAGGAGCAUUAAAAGUCGUGCUAUAAAUUCUCAGACAACCCAAAGAUUCCUUGAUGCCCUUCCAGACUGCCUCUGCCUACCCAAGGACGUCAGAGGACAAAAAUCAGUUAAUCACCAAACCGAGGAACUCAAUUUAACCUUGCGCAAUACCCUAGAUGCAGUUGCACCCCUAAAAACUAAAAACAUCUGUCAUAAGAAACUAGCUCCCUGGUAUACAGAAAAUACACGAGCUCUGAAGCAAGCUUCCAGAAAAUUGGAACGGAAAUGGCGCCACACCAAACUGGAAGUCUUCCGACUAGCUUGGAAAGACAGUACCGUGCAGUAUCGAAGAGCCCUCACUGCUGCUCGAUCAUCCUAUUUUUCCAACUUAAUUGAGGAAAAUAAGAACAAUCCGAAAUUUCUUUUUGAUACUGUCGCAAAGCUAACUAAAAAGCAGCUUUCGCAAAUGGAGGAUGGCUUUCACUUCAGCAGUAAUAAAUUUAUGAACUUCUUUGAGGAAAAGAUCAUGAUCAUUAGAAAGCAAAUUACAAACUCCUCUUUAAAUCUGGGUAUUCCUCCAAAGCUCCAUUGUCCUGAGUCUACACAACUCUGCCAGGACCUAGGAUCAAGGGAGAUACUAAAGUGUUUUAGUACUAUAUCUCUUGACGCAAUGAUGAAAAUAAUCAUGGCCUCCAAACCCUCAAGCUGCAUACUGGACCCUAUUCCAACUAAACUACUGAAAGAGCUGCUUCCUGUGCUUGGCCCUCCUAUGUUGAACAUAAUAAACGGCUCUCUAUCCACCUGA
rnacentral:lncRNA from 8 species